GACGAACGCUGGCGGCGUGCUUAACACAUGCAAGUCGAGCGGAAAGGCCCUGCUUUUGUGGGGUGCUCGAGUGGCGAACGGGUGAGUAACACGUGAGUAACCUGCCCUUGACUUUGGGAUAACUUCAGGAAACUGGGGCUAAUACCGGAUAGGAGCUCCUGCUGCAUGGUGGGGGUUGGAAAGUUUCGGCGGUUGGGGAUGGACUCGCGGCUUAUCAGCUUGUUGGUGGGGUAGUGGCUUACCAAGGCUUUGACGGGUAGCCGGCCUGAGAGGGUGACCGGCCACAUUGGGACUGAGGUACGGCCCAGACUCCUACGGGAGGCAGCAGGGGGGAAUAUGACACAAUGGGCGGAAGCCUGAUGCAGCAACGCCGCGUGCGGGAUGACGGCCUUCGGGUUGUAAACCGCUUUCGCCUGUGACGAAGCGUGAGUGACGGUAAUGGGUAAAGAAGCACCGGCUAACUACGUG
rnacentral:rRNA from 1 species